rnacentral:rRNA from 1 species
AGUCGACGGCAGCACAGUAAGAGCUUGCUCUUAUGGGUGGCGAGUGGCGGACGGGUGAGGAAUACAUCGGAAUCUACUUUUUCGUGGGGGAUAACGUAGGGAAACUUACGCUAAUACCGCAUACGACCUACGGGUGAAAGCAGGGGAUCUUCGGACCUUGCGCGAUUGAAUGAGCCGAUGUCGGAUUAGCUAGUUGGCGGGGUAAAGGCCCACCAAGGCGACGAUCCGUAGCUGGUCUGAGAGGAUGAUCAGCCACACUGGAACUGAGACACGGUCCAGACUCCUACGGGAGGCAGCAGUGGGGAAUAUUGGACAAUGGGCGCAAGCCUGAUCCAGCCAUACCGCGUGGGUGAAGAAGGCCUUCGGGUUGUAAAGCCCUUUUGUUGGGAAAGAAAUCCAGCCGGCUAAUACCUGGUUGGGAUGACGGUACCCAAAGAAUAAGCACCGGCUAACUUCGUGCCAGCAGCCGCGGUAAUACGAAGGGUGCAAGCGUUACUCGGAAUUACUGGGCGUAAAGCGUGCGUAGGUGGUUGUUUUAGUCUGCUUGUGAAGCCCUGGGCUCAACCUGGGAACUGCAGUGGAAACUGGACAACUAGAGUGUGGUAGAGGGUAGCGGAAUUCCCG